CUGCGCCGCUGCCUCCGCAUCGUCAAGAAGGUACCGUCCCCCUCCGCCCGCGUCACCCGCGUCACCCCUCCCGGCGGCUGUCGUCACCCCUCCCGGCGGCUGUCGUCACCUCCCCGCGGCCCUACGUCACCUCCCCGGGGCGGUUUGUGCCGUGGCGCCGUCGCUGCCGUUGGCAUCGGCACUCCCAGGGCUGCUCUUAGUGCCUCGCGGGUGCCCUUGUCACCUUCCUAUGGUUGUUGUCACCCCCUGGUGGCUGUUGUCACCUUAGCACAGCUGUUGUCACCUCCCCGUGGCUGUUGUCACCCUCCCUGGAGCCCUUUGUCACCUCCCCAGGUGCUGUUGUCACCCCCCAGUAGCUGUUGUCACCUCCCCGCGGCUGUUGUCACCCCCCCCCGGUGCCCUUUGUUACCUCUCUGCGGCUGUUGUCACCCCCGUCGGUGUUGACACCUGCGUGGCCAUGACGUCACCGCUUUUACCACCCCCCCAGGGGCUGUUGUCACCCCCCCGGUGGCUGUUGUCACCCUCCUGGUGGCCUUUGUC
rnacentral:lncRNA from 1 species